GGUGCUAUCCGAAAUAGCCGGGUUUCAUUCUAUGUCUAAGUUCUACUAUUUUUUGAUCAUAUAUCAUCAUGUGUAGAAUAGUGAGAAUCCUAUGAGUUGUGAUAAUUUCAUGCUUAGUGUGAGGGAUGAUGAUCCAUGAUUGCAUGAUACUUGUAGGAAUAUCUAUUUGCAUGAUGUUGAGAUAGAUAUGGACAUGUAUGUUGCAUGAGAACCUUUAUAUGAUGCCAAUAUAGAUGUAUGUAUACAUAUAGCAUGAGUUGCUAGUGGACAUAUGCAUGUGGAUAUGAUGUGAGAAUAGACUAGAUUCAUGAGGAACUAGUAUGUGAACCAAUGACAUUUGAGAAUUGGAAACCUAUGCAUAUGUGGCCGACUUGAGCAUGCCUUGUGAUGAGGACUUGAUGAUACUCGCUUUGUCUGUUAUAGCUUGUGGAUGGUCGCGCCUCCCAAGCAGUGAGCUCCGGAGUUGUAUCACAAUUGCGAAUAAAACGGGGGGCCUCUCCCGUCAGACGUCACGGUCCCGUGACAGUGUGUGCGAGUGGUUCGACCUUCGGGCGAAUCGAUUGGACUUGGCAAAAGGCAUGAUCAUGGCAUUUCAUAUAUCGUUUGCAUACAUGAUAGAACUUAAAUUCAUACUUGUUGACAUGAUUAGUAAAGGCAUAGCUACACAUUUGAGCAUGAUAUAGAUGUAGAUGAGCAAGAGCCUAGUACGAGCGCGUGCGUCGAGGAUCGCGGCAAGGGCAUCGCGCCCUAGAUAGAGUGGACCAUCGACAUUAGCUCGCUACCCCCUAUGUAUAGCAAGGAAUGAAUGAAUGUAAAAACCCUUUUGGAAAGAGAAUGUGAUGUGUAUGUUAAAUGAGAGGUUUUGUAAUAAGCUAGAGAAUGUAAGUUGUUAAAGACUCUAUGUGGAAAUGUUUUAGUAAGUAGCUUGCUUUCUCUUGUGUCUUGAUA